rnacentral:lncRNA from 1 species
GUGAAACAUAAAUUGAAAAACCUAAAGUUGGUCACAGGCAAAUAAUGAAAGCAAGUUUAGUUCAAUUUCAAAUAACACCAAAUAUAAAUCACAUUUUUUCUUUACAAGAAACUUUUUUUUUAUUGUUCGUAUGAUUUUCCUUCUUCCAAUAUUUGUUCUUGUUUUUUUUGUCUUCUCCAAUUUAAAAACGAAAAAAGAAAAAGUAUAAAUAGAUGUUGAUUGAUGUACAUUAAACACAUUCUUCUUGAAAACAUAAGAGUCAAUGCAUACAUUAAACUAUUUAAAGUCCCAAUGUGCCACUCAAGAUGACCAAUAGAGUUUCUCCUUUAUCUUUUUUCUUUUUCUUUUUACGAAGAUAAAAUUAAUUUAUUAACUGUAAUUCCCUUUUAGAUAACCCAUGUCUUUUAUUUAUUAUUUGAAUAAUAGCUAAUGAGUCAUCCAAAAAAUUAAAAUAGCCCAAAUAUCAUUUUAGAUGAUCUAUUUAUUUAAUUCAUUAAUCUGAACGAUAGUUAAAAGGCUGAUCUGAAAAUUUAAAAUAGACACAAAAUGUUGGCGAAUUUGAUCAAGACCCAAAACUACAAGAAAAUAAGCUCAGUAACACAAAAAAUAAGGUACAAAAAUUAAAAUAAAAAUAAAAAUGAAAUUCAAAAAAUAAUAAUUAAAAAAUUCAAGCCACAACUUUAACAUGGUAAAACUGGAAAAAUACUAACAAACCAAUACAAAUCCGUCCUCAAAAUGACUUAUUUUGUUAAAAGGAAAUGAUGAUGACAAAUUUGAAUAGAGGUUUAGAGGGGGGGAAGAUUGACAUUAAUUUUCGGUCGAAUGGGGUUGCCAAAAGACUUCACCAGAAAUUUUUUAUGGUUUUUUGACAAAUUCAGAUCAAAGAAUAGCCCUUAAAGAUAUCCACACAUUUAUGUAAAGGGUAUGAUAUCGCGAUGAUCGUAACUUCGUAAAUCUAAACAAAAAGUGAAGAUUUAUGUUUAGCUUUUCUUAGAUCUCGGAUUUUGGCUAUGUAUAUGGAUGAAUGAUUUUCAUAUUUGUGUAGAAAAGGGUGAAAAGAAGAGAUGAUAAAGUUUUUGGAUAUUUUUCCGGUGACACGGUGGUGGCCAACGCCGAUAGUGACAGCGCCGGGAAGGUGGAAGAAAAAUUGGUAUGGUUUAAAUUUCCUUUUUCUCUGUUGGACGGGUGGAAUAUCUAGAUGAUUGGGCAAAUUAUGAACCACUAAAUCAACACUCAAAC